AUGUCAUCUCCCUCGGACGCUCACUCCGCCGCGAGCGGCGGCGGCGCGGCGGCCGGUAACCCUGAUCUUGGCGAUUUCUUCAAUCAGUUAGACCUUAACGAUGAGGACUUCGAUGAUGUCGAGAUUGAUGUGGAUGAUCCAGAGAUCAAUGAAAGUGUCAGAUGGCUUGCCAUAGCUAGGGUUCACACGGAGAAAAACUUCAGUCAAUCAGCGUUCUACAAGGACAUGUGUGCGGCUUGGAACCCAACGCAGAGUGUAAGAUUCAAACCAGUUGGUCCAAAUCGGUACGUCGUCCAAGCGUCUUGCCUGGGGGAUUGGGAGCGCAUGAUGGUGCAAGGGCCUUGGCUGUUUCGCAACUUGGCUGUUUUGAUGUGUCCAUACGAUGGGUUUAGUAAAACAGAUGAGAUAAAAAAAUUUCAUAUGCCGAUUUGGCUUCAGAUCCAUAAGCUGCCAGAGGCAUAUUGCAAGUAGUCGGUAGUGGAAAAACUUCUGAAAGAUGUUGGGGAAAUUUUGCAUAUGCGUUUAAAUGGGAACACCCGUGGGGAUUAUGUCAGGGUGCGAGUGAAGCAUGAUAUUCAACGUCCUCUGACAAAAUUUGUGAGUAUAGUUCGUGCUAAGGAACGACAAGUUUACCUUGUGAGAUAUGAGAAGCUAGUAAGAUUCUGCAAGGUAUGCGGCCUCAUUGGACAUGUGUUUAAGGAAUGCGUUCUGGAUAUUCAUGAUGAGAAGAAAAUGAAGUACGGCGAUUGGUUGUAUGUAGACGGGCCUAAUCAGGUAGGAUGGAGAAUCAACCAUCCAGGACAAACAUGGCUGCUCGCCCUAGUGCAAGGCAGGAAGCCCCACAUGUUACGGAAGGGAAGAAUAAUGCGAGGCAAGAGGAUUUCGACCCUGCACUUGCAGAUACUGCUUCUAGUCCAAGGAAGCCAGCAGGUAUGGGGAUGGAGUUAG
rnacentral:rRNA from 1 species